AGACCACGUGGCAAGCGCUCCGCCCUCCGAGCGCGGCCCAACCUGGCAAGACCUGAGUUGCUCCUGAGCGUGCGCAGACACACAGGGAGCGCCUGAACUCGGAACGAGUUUGCCGGUUUUCUUCUUGGAUGGACAGAACGCAGUCGUUGGUGUUCCCGGUUGUCAGUGUGACAGUUGUGGAAGAACAGAGAAAUAAAGGAUCCUGAGACAUCGGCUGCCGUGGUAGCAGCAUUUUUCUCUUCCUCACAAAACAGUAUUGUAAAAACCUUACUUUUAAGGGUGGUUGGGAUGGUUUAAUUUAGUUGGGUUAGAGUCAGGACAGGGGUAUCAAGCUGCAAGUCUGGGACUUAACUAGGUAUCUCGUGUUCCUCAGUCUCCCAAGUGCUAGAACUGCAGACGUGAGCCACCACACCCGGCUUUCAAGGUAAACCACAUUCAUUUGCUCGGUAGAACCUCCCCACUCCUGUAGGACCACAGUAGGCAUUAGUGGCUGUAUUUAACCCCAGUUGGUAAAAGUACCAAAACCUCCCUCACCUCUAAGAGUACCUUUCCUACUCUUAUUGCUUUGAAAAUAAAACAAAACGUAAAGAG
rnacentral:lncRNA from 1 species